GUAGUCAGGCCCUGUUAAGCUGUCUGUCACUAUCUUUCCCCCAUGGCUUCUGGAGUCAUUCAUGGUCAAGUAGGAGGAUAAAAACAAAGCCAACAGGGGGAGCAAAGCAUGUACCAGAACUGCAUUAACUUGCUCGUUACUGUUGCUGUCAGUCAGGUGGUGGGAGGUUGGUGCCCAGUACURUUUCUCCUGGGUGAGCGAGUUUGCUGGUUUAUUUUUGGUUGUUCUUUUUCCCCUCUGUGAAUGAGUUUGCUCCAGUCUCUAGGUUAAAGCAUGUGAAAUGCUCAGCAACAUUUCUGAACUUUGUAACCUGCUCUUGAACAUUUGCUUUCUGAUAAGUCUGUAUCUCUGGCUUGUGUGCUCGUAGUGGUGGAUUGCAGUCUGGAUCAUGGGUAACUUUCAUUUGAGCUUUUAUUUUUUACCUAGCUAAUUAUUGAAAUUUAUUUAAAAGGUUGCUUCUUAAAAUCCACCUUUGUAACUGCCACUCAUUCAAACUUUGGAUAAUUGACUUYGGGUGAAUUCUGUUCCUGGUGGUGAAGAAAGACUGAGGAACUAGCGACUACCCCGUGCCCUCGGGAAUGCCAGUCUGGUCUGUGGCCUGCUGGUGGUUUGAGCCGRCUGGUACAGAGCCGUGUCAGUGCCAGAGACUUCCCUGUGGUUGGAAAGAUGAGAUCCAGCACCGUCUCCCAGCUUGGUGUGAGGCUGAGCAUGGCCCUGGAGGAUGCAGAUGUCUUUGGACAGGGGCUCAAAUUGACAGUGAUUAAGAAGUGCUGCGUGCUGAGUGUCCCCAUGUCCCCUCGGAGCCUCCAGAGGGAUGUUGGUGUGGUCUCCUGGCAGCAGAAGCAUCUCUGCCACGUGUGGAUCCCAGCUGGGCUGGAGCAGUACGAGCGUUCGGGAGCCUGA
rnacentral:lncRNA from 1 species